CUUUUUUUUUUUUUUUGUCUUUUUUUUUUUUUUUCUAGGGCCGCUCCCCCGGCAUAUGGAGGUUCCCAGGCUAGGGGUUUAAUUGGAGCUGUAACUGCUGGCCUCCACCACAAUGCGGGAUCCAAGCCAUGUCUGUGACCUAUAUCACAGCUCACGGCCACGCCAGAUCCUUAACCCACUGAGCAAGGCUAGGGAUCAAACCCGCAACCUCAUGGUUCCUAGUCGGAUUCGUUAACCACUGAGCCAGGACAGGAACUCCUCACAUAUCCAUUCUUUUUCAGACGCUUGUCCCUAUAGGUUAUCACAGAGUAUUGAGUAGAGUUCCCUGUGCUCUACGGCAGUUUCCUGUUGGCCAUCCAUUCCAUAUACAAUAGUGUACAAACUUAUGGUUACCAAAGGGGAAAGGUGGGGAGGGGGGGUUGUGGAUGGGGUGUUUGGAAAUUGCAUAUGCCCCAAAGCACAUUUUUAAAAGAUCACUGUGAUUGCUUUUGGAGAGCGGAUGGUGGAGAGACAGAAUUAGAGGAAAAGAGGUUAAAAGGUGGUUGCUGCGGAGGUGGUAGAGGCUUUUAGCUACAGAAGUAGAAAGAAUUAGGCAGAUUCAAAUAAAUGUUGACAGGAGAUAACUUUUUACCCCAACAUUAAAAUUUAGAAUAAGAAAUUCCACCACUAAGCUUUUUUCUCAGUAUAGACUUGCUAACAAUGUAAUGAGUACUUCUGUGUUUUUCCGUCUGCAGUUAUUAUGUAUUUUCUUGAUUUCAUCAUGAUUCAUAUUGAUACAGUGCCAAAAGAGAAGAAAUAUAAUAGGAACCACAUUUAUUAUUACAAAAGAAAAGGUUCUAAAAUGCUUGAAAGAACAUUUCACUUCCAUACCAAUUUCAGCACUCCAUUUAAGUUGAAAAUUUCUGCUUUUACCAAGUUUGCAAUUUUUUCAAAACGUCUGAUCUUUCACAAUUGGAUUGUUUGGUUUUCAUCUUAAUUCUCAGAAUGCACUUUAUAUUCUAAGACGGGCAUCACAAUCCUGACAGUGUUUUUCAUAUCUAAAAAUUUUCUGGUUUUUAUUAUUACCAUUAUCAACAAAGAUUUAUUUCAUGUUUACUCAUAGGACAUGACCAUCUGUAUAAAUAAAAAGAAUACAUAGAAAUUACUUGAAGGGUAUCAAAACUACAUAGUGUUCUAAGCAGACGCACAGUGACUACUGGUGGUGCUGAAAAUAAUACUAGAAACCUUGGAAAUGAUAGGCGUUAAGGGAAUGCUUUUGGUUUUGACAGCCUCAGACUUUGUAAGUGAUCUGGCUAAAGGCAGAAGUGCUAAAAAUCUCCGGGGGUAAUCUUAUCCAACAUGUUCCUUCAUGGUUCAGAUGCAUAACUCUCCUUAGAUCAAGAGUCAUGAUUGUCUUUGCUUCCUUCGAUGUCACAUUCAGGCACAUAUUAGGACAACAGAGAGCUGAAUAUUUGUAGCUACUCUUAAAAUGACGAUUGCCUACUGCCUAAAAGCACUAGAAAUUGGACGAAGUAACUGGCCUUCCCCAAAGCAUGACACAGACGUUUUCGUGCUCAUGAAUUCUGUCAGUUUCAGUCCUUUCAUCCAUGAAGACAGAGAAUGACUUUUCUGGGCUGCACAUCAGAGCCAAAAGCUUAAUAAACUACCACGUGACACUCUUAUUACAGUUUAAGUGCAUUCCUUACGUUUCCUAAUUCAAUCAUGCUUAACAAGGGAAAAAUUACUUCCUCAGUUGGAAGUUUUAAUUAAUAAUCAAACUGAAACAAAACUUUGACUGUGAUACAUUUUAACAACAACAACAAAAAGUCUUGAAGUUGAAAGGAUUCUCCUUUCCAGAUUUUCAUUAUCACCAAAGGCAAAUUCUCUUGAAAAAUAUUUCAACAAAGGGGCAUUGUGUUCUACUGACACUGAUAAGAUAUGAUUAGAUAGAAAGAGAUGACUGUGUUUUAUACACGUUGACAGUCUGGAACCAUGUAGCUAAAUUAAAGAAUCUCCAUUUCAAAAAUGAUAUUAAUUUAUAGUCCUAGUCUACUCUAGUAAUAGGAAAAAAAAAUCAGGCGUCCUAGUUACUAUCAUUUUUCUAUGUGUUACUUUGAUGCCUAUUUAUUGAAAGUUAUUUUUUGCAAUAUUGUAUGGCAGGCACUGUUCUGGGCACUGGGAAUACAGCUAUGAAUGAGGCAAAGUCCUAUCCUCUUAGAAUUUACAUUCCAGAGACUUUAGCAACACAGACAAGAGAAGGUCAUAAUCUGUAUCAGGAGAUAACACCACUCUGACCCUGUUUGGGCUCCAUUGGAGCUCUUUUCUCCUGGUGGACACGAACACUCAGGACAGUAGAAGAUGCUGGGGCUCCCCUGGCCCAAGAGAACCUGAUGCCUAACCCUCCCCUGAAUCUUAGCUGCACUGGUCUUAUCCGCCCCUGCAGGCUCCUGCCCCACCCUCAGCAGCUGCUGAUAGAGUGGGUCCAUGCCUCUGCAACCAGACCCACUCCUUACCAGUGUCUGUGAUGUGCUAGGAAUUCUAGAAUCCCACCUGCCAAACCAACCUCCUGUUCCACUAGUCUCUCACCCAUAGAGCCAGCUCCGGCUUCCUGGCAUUUCUUUAAAAAAAAAAAAAAGAAAUUUAUUAAAGUACAGCUGAUUGACAAUGUUCUGUCAAUUUCUGCUGUGUCCAAAAAUUGGCCAAUUCAUAUAUACAUUCUUUUUUCUCGUAUUAUCUUCCAUUAUUGUGUUUUUUAAAUGUCCCAAACUCUCUCCCCUUGGCUGCCACGGUCACUUUUUAUUUUGAACACAGAGGGAGGGGCUUUCCAAAAGAGGCAGAGCUGCAGAAAAGAGAAAGCUGCUAACUUUCUUCUGUCUUCUUUUUUUCUGCCC
rnacentral:lncRNA from 1 species